rnacentral:rRNA from 1 species
AUUGAACGCUGGCGGCAGGCCUAACACAUGCAAGUCGAGCGGGGGAAGGUAGCUUGCUACCGGACCUAGCGGCGGACGGGUGAGUAAUGCUUAGGAAUCUGCCUAUUAGUGGGGGACAACAUCUCGAAAGGGAUGCUAAUACCGCAUACGUCCUACGGGAGAAAGCAGGGGAUCUUCGGACCUUGCGCUAAUAGAUGAGCCUAAGUCGGAUUAGCUAGUUGGUGGGGUAAAGGCCUACCAAGGCGACGAUCUGUAGCGGGUCUGAGAGGAUGAUCCGCCACACUGGGACUGGGACACGGCCCAGACUCCUACGGGAGGCAGCAGUGGGGAAUAUUGGACAAUGGGGGGAACCCUGAUCCAGCCAUGCCGCGUGUGUGAAGAAGGCCUUAUGGUUGUAAAGCACUUUAAGCGAGGAGGAGGCUACUCUAGUUAAUACCUAGGGAUAGUGGACGUUACUCGCAGAAUAAGCACCGGCUAACUCUGUGCCAGCAGCCGCGGUAA